rnacentral:rRNA from 1 species
CCUACGGGGGGCAGCAGUGGGGAAUAUUGCACAAUGGGGGGAACCCUGAUGCAGCGACGCCGCGUGAGUGAAGAAGUAUUUCGGUACGUAAAGCUCUAUCAGCAGGGAAGAAAAUGACGGUACCUGACUAAGAAGCCCCGGCUAACUACGUGCCAGCAGCCGCGGUAAUACGUAGGGGGCAAGCGUUAUCCGGAUUUACUGGGUGUAAAGGGAGCGCAGACGGCUGUGCAAGUCUGGAGUGAAAGGCGGGGGCCCAACCCCCGGACUGCUCUGGAAACUGUAAAGCUGGAGUGCAGGAGAGGUAAGCGGAAUUCCUAGUGUAGCGGUGAAAUGCGUAGAUAUUAGGAGGAACACCAGUGGCGAAGGCGGCUUACUGGACUGCAACUGACGCUGAUGCUCGAAAGCGCGGGUAUCGAACAGGAUUAGAUACCCGAGUAGUC